AUACUUACCUGGCAUGGGAGAUACCAUGAUCACAAACGAAAGUGGUUUUCCCAGGACAAGGCUUAUCCAUUGCAUUCCGGAUGUGCAGACCCCUGUGAGUUCCCCGACUGCAUAAUUUGUGAUAGUGGGGAACUGCAUUCUCACUCUCCCCUG
rnacentral:snRNA from 1 species